UGGGGAUAGCUCAGUUGGUAGAGCAUCUUUCGCCCAAUGUGGGGCUCGAAUCUCAGGGCUGUGGGUUUGAGCCCCACAUUGGGUGAAAG